rnacentral:sRNA from 1 species
CUUAACUAUACAAAACCGGUCACAAUAGGUCCCUCGGUGGUUUUGGUCCCGGUUUUAUCCUACGUGACUGUUGAGUCAGCGUGAGACCCACGUGGGACCCACAUGUCAGCCUGUCCAGGUCAGCUUCUCUUUCUUUCCCCUCUUCUCUCCCUUCCUCUUCCAGUCUUCCCUCUCUCUCACUCUUCUCUCUAGGGCUCUGGGCAGGCCGGCGGACCGACGAGGCGAGGCGGGAGAGGAGGUCCGGCGGCCGGUGGCGGCGGCGGAGACGACGCGGGAGCAGGGGAGCAAGUCGGCGACGGCGGCGAGAUGCCCAUGGCGAGGUACUGGAGGCGGAGCUCCGUCGGGACGGGGAGCGGGACGAUGGCGGCGGACGGCGGGCACGGAUCGCGUCGCCCGCCCGUGGCGACGCCAGCGCCGGCAUCGCCCGCCCGCACGCGAUCUCCCCCACCGCCGAUCUAAUGAUCAGCACUAUGCACUACAUGGCAACCAUUGGUGGUAGUGUGGUACUAGUCGUGGCUAACUAACUGGAGGAUUUCCUC